rnacentral:lncRNA from 1 species
UUUGGAGGUUCCCAGGCUAGGGGUCACAUCAGAGCUGCAGCUACAGCCUAGCCCACAGCCACAGCAACACGGGAUCCAAGCUAUAUCUGUGACCUACAGCGCAGUUUGUGGCAAUGCUGGAUCUUUAACCCACCGAGCAAGGCCAGGGAUUGAACCAGCAUCUUCGCAGGGACAACAUCAGGUCCUUAACCCACUGAGCCACAAUGGAACUCCUAGUCAUUAUUUAUGUUCUUUUUACAUAAAGUCUGAGAAUAAGAAAGAUACAACUUGACUCACAUUCAGCCAGUCUAUAACUGACAUGAAUAGAAACACGACUCAUCAAAUCUGAGGCAGGGUUUGACAUUCAGCCACUGAGUAGCUGUCUUCUCUCCCAGACUAUGCAUGUCUCUUCUGCAUCUGAAAUAUUGGUCCCAGACAGCCCUAAAGGAUAUGUCAGCAGAAGCAUCCAAUUGGAUAUAUUCCCUGCAGAGAUGUCUGGGGAGAGGUUUGAUGUUUUUGCCCCAUCUUGCAUAUAACUGGAAGUCCCAAUGCUAUGAAAGCCAAGAAUUGGGUGGAGAUUCAUCCAGAAAAUAGCCAGACUUUUUGGAUACCAGAAGGAGUUCACUUGGGAGUUGGAUUGAUUCAGCUGUCAAGUAGUAGUAGACACAAGGAUUCUUUUUUAAUGAGAGCCAAUCGGCCCAGCCCUUAUAGAGUAUGAACAGCAUGAACAGUAUUUGGCAGAUAAAUCCACCUACUGCAGGGUCAUCCAUCCAGGACUGGUUCAGAUGUGGCCCAUGUAGCUGGGAGGCCCUCCUAGCUCUUUCAUUCUAUUCCCAGCAAUGACUUUCAUGUCUCAAGACUUCCUAACACCCAUCCUUUAUUUCGGCAUGAUAUAUAUUCUGACUGUAAUCCCCUCAGGUCAUGACCAUUUCCUAGCCACCCCCCUUUUGGGUCUACUGUUAUCUGUCAACGAUUGGCAGGAAGGGGAAGGGACACAAGUGCCUUAUCUAUAAAUGCCUGGCAUCUAGCCUGGUAUCUCGCAGUAGCUCUUUGAGUGUUAGGUGGAUGAGUGAAUGAAUGAGUCAGUGAAUGAGUAAACGGAUGAAUAAACCGAUGAAUUAGUGAAUGAGUAAGUAAAUGAGUAAAUUAAUAAAUGCAAGCCUGUGUUUUCCUUCCUUAACUAUGAGCUGGUUGAUCUCCUUGAUUUAUUGUAGGAUGGCCCAGUCUGCAUGGGUUUCACAACACAGCAGAAGAACAGAUCAAUAAAACCAGGGGAAUCAAAAUGAGUUUCAAAUUUAUUGGGCUUAAUUCCCAACUGCCCAGCCAUAACAAGGAGAACCUAGACCCAGUGCUAAGAGCUAGGUGUUUAGAUGGGGUAUGAACUCUGAACAAACGGGUAAUCUGUUUGUUAAGGUAAUGGGUUGCUUUUUAAAAUUUCGGGUUGUGUCUCUAUAGUGAAUGGCUUAGAUUUUUAUGUCAGAACAGGGUCCACAGAGACAAGAACUGAUGCUUUUCCAGAGCUCAGAAGUGUGUCCUUUUCUUUCAGUUGCUAUAUAAUAUAAACCUCAUUCUCCUCCAUAUUGCUACUGAGGAAGCUGAGUCUCCAAGAGGUGAGGUGACCUGCCCAGAAUCACAUCGCUAGUCCACAGAUCUAGGAUUCAAAGCCAGGCCAGUCUGAAGCUAAGUCCACGUUUUCCCGCCCACUACUACAGGCGCUAGAUCAGCGGUUCUCACACUUGAGAGUAACUAGAGAGAUUAACACAACUCAGAUUGCUUCACCUCCAGAUUUCCAUCAGUCUGGGAUGGCACCUAAGAAUCUGCAUUUCUAACACGUCUCCCCGUGAAGAUGCUGACAUGGAAACCAACUGGAGGUAGUUUGAGCAAAAAAGGAGCCUUUUGUUACACAGAUAUAGGGCCAUGUCCUUUCACCCAAUGGAAGGAACACAGUUGGGUCUCAAAUAGGUCUGGAACCAGAGACAAGCCUCUAUUUCCAGCUUUCACUUUGGCUUCUCUUUGAAAUAUGCUUUGUUUUCCUUCCAUUUACACUAGCUUCUGCAUCUGCCCCUCUGUCCAGCAAUACACCACCAGGCUGGCAGCAUCUGCCAAGGUUAGGCCGUGAAGAGCCUGCAGCCCAAAGAAGGACUGAAUCUCACACUAUACCAGACCCCAAAUCCCAAGACUUGCUUGAAUGGGAGACACAUUCCUGGUCUAAUCAUCUAUGACCACAGACAAUGUUGUGGACGGCAUUGUACAAAGUGGCUACGACAGCCCCAUCACCAUAACCUUGAACUAUAGAUUGAUAGAGAAGGGUAGUUUGCACAGAAAGGAAUGACCAGUAACCACCAGAGCUGAAGUGCAAGAAAUGUGCAUGCAUGUCUUACCUUCCAGGUAGGUAAGAUGUGAGAAAGCCAUACUAAGCCAGCCUGGUGACCAGAGGGCAAACGAUGGUUGGGGAACUUUUCAGAACACGUGGCUGAUGGCCUUCAGAAACAAUAUGUUUCCCUUGUAAACCAACCACAUGUCAAUAAAAUUUUAAAAAAGAAAAUAAAGAAAUAUUUUUCCCUUGGACUAGAGGAGAUGCAGUAAACAGUAAAUCCAUCUGGUGUGCAAAUUCUCUUAAACAAGUCUACACAGACAAUUCCUAGGGCUAAAUAGAGCCAGUUCUGUUUUUUUAGAAGGAGAACAAUGGAAUGUGGAAUUUCAGACCAGUGCAGCUGGCAAAGCUGGGUCAGGGGAAAGGCUCAGAUUAGAUUCAUUAAUGUUUUGCAAACCCACCCCGUCCCCACCCCGCUACAUCCCUUGCCUAUCUUCACCCCUACGAGGGGAAAGCCUCAGAUGGCUAAAGAAAGAAUUUGAAGAAAACUGGGUCAGAUGCUCAGCGAGGUCUACAGGCACCGGCGGAGGCCUGGGGCUGUGUGUCAGAGACGGAUGCCCUUCCACCAGGCCCUGUGCCGCUGAGCGAGGCUCCCUGUCCUGGCAGCCCCUCUGAGUCCCAGGUUUGCUUGCUGGGAGUUCCAGUGAUAGGAUCUGAAGAGGAAAAGGUACUAGUAGGAGGCACGAUGGAAAGAGCAUUGAAUGUAUGGUUGUGCAUUGGCAGCGUCAACACAGGACAAACUGUGAGAUGAGCCCAAGCCAGCCAGUUACAUGCUCCGCCCUUCCUCCUCUUUAACGGAUACUGGGGACCACAGUCACACAUGACCCUUCUGAUUCCCUAGGCUGCUAUAACUUGCAAAUGUGAUGGGCUGAGAUAUCGUACGUGAUGUUUUUGUGUAAAUUAGAAAAGUCGCCACUCCCUCCAUGUCAGAGCAUAGGGGGUUUGGGCUGCAUUUCACCCCCUCAGCCAGGCGAGCUUGCACAGGGAAUGCCUUUUCCAUCCUCACAGUGGCGCUGCAACACGGUGUCCCCUUUGAGAAUGAGGUAAAUCCUAACCAAGUAUAGAGGCCUCGGGGUUGGGGGGGGGUCCUCAAUCAGCCUUGGUAAAGGGAGGAGACGAGGGGAGCCAUUCCCUCUAUCAUCCGCCUUCAAAUUAAAACAGUCAGCCAGAAUGACCUUGCACUAAGGGCAGAAGGCAGGGGACGGGGUCAUGAAAAUGCUCACGGUGACAUACUGAGCUGGAAACCUCACCAUCAAGAAAAAUGACAGUUUUUAGACACUUCAGGCUAAAUUUGAAUUUACAUAUUUUCACCAAACUCCCUCCAGCUCUCCUUUCCUGUAUGUGGCUCCUGCCGUUGCAGUUCCUUCCACGACUAUGUCGAUGUAAUCUGAGCAGAGGUUGUGUCUAAAAUUCUGUUAAGAGCCACUGGAGUUCUCAGCCACUGGAGUUCAUUGCCAUAAGUGAGUGUUAACCCUUCUUGGCUCUGUUUUCCUGCUUUGUGCUCGACACCUAUUUUUAUGUGAUGACUUGUUUUGUUUCUGUCUUUGUCUAAAACUCUCUUGGGGCUAGAUUCCUAUUCCAAUGUAUGUUUGGAUUCAAAGCUCUGCAUAGGUGUCACAGAGCCACAGAGUUGGAAACUGUAGGACCUAGAAGCACAAAAGGGGUGCACAACAGUCUUGUUCUUUGU